GAUGAACGCUGGCGGCGUGCCUAACACAUGCAAGUCGAGCGAUUUACUUCGGUAAAGAGCGGCGGACGGGUGAGUAACGCGUGGGUAACCUGCCCUAUACACACGGAUAACAUACCGAAAGGUAUGCUAAUACGAGAUGACAUAAGAGAUUCGCAUGGAUUUCUUAUCAAAGCUUUUGCGGUAUAGGAUGGACCCGCGUCUGAUUAGCUAGUUGGUAAGGUAACGGCUUACCAAGGCGACGAUCAGUAGCCGACCUGAGAGGGUGAUCGGCCACAUUGGAACUGAGACACGGUCCAAACUCCUACGGGAGGCAGCAGUGGGGAAUAUUGCACAAUGGGCGAAAGCCUGAUGCAGCAACGCCGCGUGAGCGAUGAAGGCCUUCGGGUCGUAAAGCUCUGUCCUCAAGGAAGAUAAUGACGGUACUUGAGGAGGAAGCCCCGGCUAACUACGUGCCAGCAGCCGCGGUAAUACGUAGGGGGCUAGCGUUAUCCGGAAUUACUGGGCGUAAAGGGUGCGUAGGUGGUUUCUUAAGUCAGAGGUGAAAGGCUACGGCUCAACCGUAGUAAGCCUUUGAAACUGAGAAACUUGAGUGCAGGAGAGGAGAGUAGAAUUCCUAGUGUAGCGGUGAAAUGCGUAGAUAUUAGGAGGAAUACCAGUUGCGAAGGCGGCUCUCUGGACUGUAACUGACACUGAGGCACGAAAGCGUGGGGAGCAAACAGGAUUAGAUACCCUGGUAGUCUACGCCGUAAACGAUGAGUACUAGCUGUCGGAGGUUACCCCCUUCGGUGGCGCAGCUAACGCAUUAAGUACUCCGCCUGGGAAGUACGCUCGCAAGAGUGAAACUCAAAGGAAUUGACGGGGACCCGCACAAGUAGCGGAGCAUGUGGUUUAAUUCGAAGCAACGCGAAGAACCUUACCUAAGCUUGACAUCCUUCUGACCUCUCCCUAAUCGGAGAUUUCCCUUCGGGGACAGAAGUGACAGGUGGUGCAUGGUUGUCGUCAGCUCGUGUCGUGAGAUGUUGGGUUAAGUCCCGCAACGAGCGCAACCCUUGCCUUUAGUUGCCAGCAUUAAGUUGGGCACUCUAGAGGGACUGCCAGGGAUAACCUGGAGGAAGGUGGGGAUGACGUCAAAUCAUCAUGCCCCUUAUGCUUAGGGCUACACACGUGCUACAAUGGGUGGUACAGAGGGCAGCCAAGUCGUGAGGCGGAGCUAAUCCCUUAAAGCCAUUCUCAGUUCGGAUUGUAGGCUGAAACUCGCCUACAUGAAGCUGGAGUUACUAGUAAUCGCAGAUCAGAAUGCUGCGGUGAAUGCGUUCCCGGGUCUUGUACACACCGCCCGUCACACCACGGGAGUUGGGGGCGCCCGAAGCCACUUAGCUAACCCUUUUGGGAAGCGAGUGUCGAAGGUGAAAUCAAUAACUGGGGUGAAGUCGUAACAAGGUAGCCGUAUCGGAAGGUGCGGCUGGAUCACCUCCUUUCUAAGGAGAAUUGCCUACUGUUUAAUUUUGAGGGUUCAUUAAAUGGAAACUCAACAAUAGAGGGCGUAGCCCAAUGCAACUGUAUUUUGAGCAACGGGAUGAACAUGAACGUAUGUGAAUGUUUAGACGUUGGCGACAUGCGAUAGCAUUUUAGUACUUUGAAAACUGCAUAACAUUUAGUGAUAUGACAUCAUUUAAUUAAUAUAUGGACAAGAAAAGUCCUUAAAAUUACAACUUUAAGCAAAGGGAUUUAUGUGAAUGUAUAUGAACAUAAAGACUUUGGCGAUAACUUUUUAAUAACUGGUCAAGUUAUUAAGGGUGCAGGGUGGAUGCCUUGGCACUAGGAGCCGAUGAAGGACGUGAUAAGCUGCGAUAAGCUUCGGGGAGUUGCACGUAAACUUUGAUCCGAAGAUUUCCGAAUGAGGAAACUCACUUAGAGUAAUGUCUAAGUAUCGUUAAGUGAAUACAUAGCUUAGCGAGGGGAACCCGGGGAACUGAAACAUCUAAGUACCUGGAGGAAGAGAAAGAAAAAUCGAUUCCGUAAGUAGCGGCGAGCGAACGCGGAACAGGCCAAACCAAUGAAGUUUACUUCGUUGGGGUUGCGGACACGUCAUAAACGAAGAGGUAUCGUAAGUGAAGAGAGUUGGAAAGCUCCGCUAUAAAAGGUAAUAGCCCUGUAGCUGAAACGAGAAGACUUUAGAUGUGAUCCAGAGUACCACGGGACACGUGAAACCCUGUGGGAAGCAGGAGGGACCAUCCUCCAAGCCUAAAUACUACCUAGUGACCGAUAGCGCAU
rnacentral:rRNA from 1 species